GUUGCCCGUCAAUGUGGUACAGUACGAAUUGUGGUGACAGCUUAUUGUGCUUUCCUUUUUCCUAUCACUUCCGUUAUUCUGACAUUUUCGGUUCGUGGCGUGAUUUUAAACCGCUAUAAUUUUAUCAAGUGCGCGUCGGUCUGAAAUUGUAUUAAUUUUAAAGAAUUUAAUGGUUUGUUGUGUAUAAAAAGCAUUUUAGCGCAUAGUUAAAUAGUUGUAUAUGCGUGUAGUGUUGUUUGCAAUGUAAUAAAUGUGUGCAAAUGUUGAAUUGGCAUCGCGGUAGUUGUGCCUGCAUUGCUAACCUAAAAGAAGGUGGACUUGCGUGAGUUUGUGAGUUUUCGGUAAAAUGCUUAAAGGGAAACGCUAUAUAGAUCUCAUACAUAACAAUAUCGUGUUUAAUUGUUACAAUAAGUGCUAUUUUACAACAACAACCAGAAAUAAAAUGUGAAAAAAUUGGUUUUGAAGUUGACACCAGUUGAACACAAUUUCGUUUGCAUGUACCUGCAUUUGUGGUUCGCUUUCUCGCGUUUAAUUUUUCAUUUCCUUUUCGUGCGUUUUUGACGUUUCCGUUUGCAAAUGACAUUUUGAAAAAAGAAAAGAUUAAGCAGUGCGAACAAAGUAGUAAAGAGACUUUUCGUUAAUUGCCAAUAUAAACAUAUGAACGAUGAGUGUAUUUACACAUAUAUGUAGUAUUCUGUCUGUGUUACAGAUACAUAUGUAUAUCAAAGACUAAUACUUCAUUCAAAAUGCAAAGGAAAUUGGAAAUACUCGAAUAAUAGCUUUGCAACUAUUAUUUGAAACACUACGCUUGUUGUAAGGUAUUAACAAAUCCGUGGGGUUCAAUGAAAAUUAUAUGUACUUACGACCACAUAAAACGCUCUGAACUCUGCGGCCUCAUCAAACCAAUCCAAACAAUAUCAUUCACAUCCAGCUCGCGAAGUAGAUCUCUUGUUGCAUCGAAUUGGAAGCUGUUGUCGACUUUGUAACCUUCCUCGGUGAUACUCAUCUAAUGGUCGUAACAGUAAAUAAGCUCAUUCAAUUCAAUGAACCAUAUAAUAUCAUGCGAAGGUACUUAGCCUCAGCUAAGGAUCACUCUUGCUGAUUAUAUAUACGCUAUUACAUAUAUGAAUAUGAAUUUAUAAUGCACCGCUGAGCAAGCUCAAUGAAGCUAAGAAAGUAAACAAUUUGAUUUAUGACAAACACAUUCUUAUACUCAUACGCCGUGGCCUCCUGCCAGCAGUAGUCGCAAUAAAAGAAAGCGAAGGAAAAUAAGAAUUAUUUUUACGACGACUGUCACACAUAAGCAACACACACACAAACACAAACGAAGAAUCAAUAAUCAGCAGAGAAGAAGUCAACAAUGAAAAACCACAAUGUCAAAAAAUCGCAAGAACCGCAACAAUUGCAACAACAGCAACAAUGGAAUGUCAAAUAGUAAACCAACUGUUAUUUUCAUGUGCUUUUGCAGAAUUUAUUAUGUCUAUAUAAUGGUCUUCGGAGUACAACAACACACAACAAUAUCCUAACGCCAUUCAUAUUAAAUGAUUUCGGCUUCACUACCUCACAAAUAACGUCGGUAAUGUCUGUGAUGGGCCAUUCAUCACGAAAAAAAUACUGUGGGAUAAUCGUGCCUUCUUCCUAACAGGUGUCGUUGGCAUCGCACUCGGUCGCACUGUCGUGGCCUGCAUACGCUCCUACACGGUCAUACUGUGUACACUCGUUUGGAUUGGGAAGUGCAAGGGUGUGCGCAUGAUCUUCUGGCCACUUGUUAUACCUGGUUGUGUUCCAUUGCUACGUUUACAAGCAGCUUCCGGUUUGGCACUGCUCAUUUCCGGCUUGUUUACGUUCGCCUGCGGACCAUUUGUGGGUAUUAUAUGUGAUCGAUCACCCUUUCUUCAACAUGUUGUCGUUCAUUGCUGCCAUCUCGUGGACACUUGCGGCGCUGGUGCGUCGUUAUCGCCGUGGCUAUCGCGAUCGCAAGCGAAAUUGCGUCACAUGACUCGCGUUCGUAUCGAAG